GCCUUCCCUAUAUUCCAGGUGCCGCUCGCAAGAACGGCUAUGGCGAUAAACGGAUCUCGAAAUAAGCCUUUCGGACCCGGGGGCGGUACCCGGCGCCUCCACCAAAGCCCUGAUGAUGCAGGGUUUUGGCGGGGGCGAAAUAGGAUCGACGAGGGUGUAAAGGUUAUCCUUUUGCUCGGCAUGGUUCCGCCGUUAUCGGGCCAAAGCAUAGUUGCCAACGACAACAAUGCUCGGGUUGCCGUCGCCGCGUAAGCGGUGCUGGUUCCCAAACCAAAGCCCUUGCGUUUAGCCGCGUAAGGCGGGGCUCGGAGGCGCCUGGCAACAGAAGCCUCCA
rnacentral:tmRNA from 1 species